rnacentral:rRNA from 1 species
GAUGAACGCUGGCGGCGUGCCUAAUACAUGCAAGUCGAGCGAAUGGAUUAAGAGCUUGCUCUUAUGAAGUUAGCGGCGGACGGGUGAGUAACAUGUGGGUAACCUGCCCAUAAGACUGGGAUAACUCCGGGAAACCGGGGCUAAUACCGGAUAACAUUUUGAACCGCAUGGUUCGAAAUUGAAAGGCGGCUUCGGCUGUCACUUAUGGAUGGACCCGCGUCGCAUUAGCGAGUUGGUGAGGUAACGGCGCACCAAGGCAACGAUGCGUAGCCGACCUGAGAGGGUGAUCGGCCACACUGGGACUGAGACACGGCCCAGACUCCUACGGGAGGCAGCAGUAGGGAAUCUUCCGCAAUGGACGAAAGUCUGACGGAGCAACGCCGCGUGAGUGAUGAAGGCUUUCGGGUCGUAAAACUCUGUUGUUAGGGAAGAACAAGUGCUAGUUGAAUAAGCUGGCACCUUGACGGUACCUAACCAGAAAGCCACGGCUAACUACGUGCCAGCAGCCGCCGCCG